UAGGGAAUCUUCCGCAAUGGGCGAAAGCCUGACGGAGCAACGCCGCGUGAGUGAUGAAGGUCUUCGGAUCGUAAAACUCUGUUAUUAGGGAAGAACAAAUGUGUAAGUAACUAUGCACGUCUUGACGGUACCUAAUCAGAAAGCCACGGCUAACUACGUGCCAGCAGCCGCGGUAAUACGUAGGUGGCAAGCGUUAUCCGGAAUUAUUGGGCGUAAAGCGCGCGUAGGCGGUUUUUUAAGUCUGAUGUGAAAGCCCACGGCUCAACCGUGGAGGGUCAUUGGAAACUGGAAAACUUGAGUGCAGAAGAGGAAAGUGGAAUUCCAUGUGUAGCGGUGAAAUGCGCAGAGAUAUGGAGGAACACCAGUGGCGAAGGCGACUGUCUGGUCUGUAACUGACGCUGAUGUGCGAAAGCGGGGGGAUCAAACAGG
rnacentral:rRNA from 1 species